AUCACUUCUCAGCCUCCUGAGAUGAAGUAUAUCACGUGUUCUUAGCAGUUUGAUAGCUCCUAUGUCUUCUACCCAAGGAUAAUGCCUAGUAUUCUCAAUGGAGAGAUGGACUAGGAGCUUGCUCCAUGCACUCCACACAUGGACCUGGUGUUGCAGGACCUCCCGGAACCAGGCCCGCCUC
rnacentral:snRNA from 1 species